GUCCCGAUAGGGUAGAGGAUAUCCUAGGAGCCUGCGGAGCUCUUGACCCGGGUUCAAGUCCCGGUCGGGGCG
rnacentral:tRNA from 1 species